rnacentral:rRNA from 1 species
GACGAACGCUGGCGGCGUGCUUAACACAUGCAAGUCACGGGGGGUAGCAAUACCAACCGGCGAACGGGUGCGUAACACGUGAGCAACCUACCUCGAUGUGGGGGAUAGCCGGCCCAACGGCCGGGUAAUACCGCAUACGAUCUCGGCGGGGAGUCCUGCUGAGAGGAAACCUCCGGGGCAUUGAGAGGGGCUCGCGGCCUAUCAGCUAGUUGGCGGGGUAAUGGCCCACCAAGGCUCUGACGGGUAGCUGGUCUGAGAGGAUGGCCAGCC